CCUACGGGAGGCAGCAGUGGGGGAUAUUGCACAAUGGGGGAAACCCUGAUGCAGCGACGCCGCGUGGGUGAAGAAGCGCCUCGGCGCGUAAAGCCCUGUCAGCAGGGAAGAAAAUGACGGUAGCUGAAGAAGAAGCCCCGGCUAACUACGUGCCAGCAGCCGCGGUAAUACGUAGGGGGCAAGCGUUAUCCGGAUUUACUGGGUGUAAAGGGGGCGCAGACGGCGAUGCAAGCCAGGCGGGAAAGCCCGGGGCCCAACCCCGGGACUGCUCUUGGAACUGCGUGGCUAGAGUGCAGGAGGGGCAGGCGGACUUCCUGGUGUAGCGGUGAAAUGCGUAGAUAUCAGGAGGAACACCGGUGGCGAAGGCGGCCUGCUGGACUGCAACUGACGUUGAGGCCCGAAAGCGUGGGGAGCAAACAGGAUUAGAUACCCCUGUAGUC
rnacentral:rRNA from 1 species